rnacentral:lncRNA from 1 species
GUUCGUGUGUCUCCAUUUCGUCAGUAAAAUUGGAAGUCACCUAUAGGCCGGGCCAUCGCCUAAUAGGUAGGACCGCGGAAUAUGUGGAGUAUAGGUGAUUUCGCGUAUAUGAUCGUAUGUAUCACACCUAUAGGCGAUCUGUUGUAUACAGCAUGGCCUAUAGGCCUGUAGGCUAUAGGUUACCAUGUGUACGCAUGCAAAACUGUGAGAGCCUAAUAGUCCGUUGUAUAAAGGUAUGCCUUUAUGUAGGCCACUCGUGUAUACAGUGUUCGGGGGCAAAGCUGCACUAGCUACACCUUUGACCUCCCUUAAAAUGCUGCAAACUAUGAGGUCUGUGCAUAUGAACCGUUU